GAGCGAGGGCCGCCGCGCUGCGGCCCGCCUCCCGGCUCGGAGGUAGGCUGAGACGGGAGGGUCCUCGGCUAAAGCCAAAGGCGGAUCAAAGUGGUGGGAGUCGCGCCGCGGCCGCGGAGACGUGAAGGCCCUCCGCACUCCUCCUCGGCAUCCGGGUCGGUGCUCGCCCUCGCUGUCCUGUCCCCGGCCCCAUGGAGAAGACGGAGCUGAUCCAGAAGGCCAAGCUGGCCGAGCAGGCCGAGCGCUACGACGACAUGGCCACCUGCAUGAAGGCCGUGACGGAGCAGGGCGCCGAGCUGUCCAACGAGGAGCGCAACCUGCUCUCGGUGGCCUACAAGAACGUGGUCGGAGGCCGCAGGUCCGCCUGGAGGGUCAUCUCGAGCAUCGAGCAGAAGACCGACACCUCCGACAAGAAGCUGCAGCUGAUUAAGGACUAUCGGGAGAAAGUGGAGUCUGAACUGCGGUCCAUCUGCACCACGGUCCUGGAAUUGUUGGAUAAGUAUUUAAUAGCCAAUGCAACUAAUCCAGAGAGUAAGGUCUUCUAUCUGAAGAUGAAGGGAGAUUACUUCCGGUACCUUGCUGAAGUUGCUUGUGGUGAUGAUCGGAAACAAACGAUAGAUAAUUCCCAAGGAGCUUACCAAGAGGCUUUUGAUAUAAGCAAGAAAGAGAUGCAACCCACACACCCAAUCCGCCUGGGGCUGGCUCUUAACUUUUCUGUAUUUUACUAUGAGAUCCUUAAUAACCCAGAACUUGCCUGCACACUGGCUAAAACGGCUUUUGAUGAGGCCAUUGCAGAGCUUGACACACUGAAUGAAGACUCAUACAAAGACAGCACCCUCAUCAUGCAGUUGCUUAGAGACAACCUAACAAGAGACUAACAUCCUACCUAAUUCAAGAACCGUAUCUACAUAUCUUCACGCACACAUGCUGCUUCCCUAUAACUUAACAUCGUUCACUCCUGUUUAACUCUUUGCAGCAUACAAAUUAUGGACAUCAGACAGUGCAGGAGAAGAAUGUGAUGCGGCAGAAGGGGCAGAGAACUAAGUGCAUACAGGGUGUCAUCCUUCUUCCCCUCAAGAAACCUUUUUACUCAUCUCCAUUCCUUAUUCCAUUUGGAUUUCCUAUAGCAAAGAAACCCAUUCAUGUGUAUGGAAUCAACUGUUUAUAGUCUUUUCACGCCGCAGCUUUGGGAAAACUCCAUUCCUUGAUUUGUGUUUGUCUUGGCCUUUCUGGUGUGCAGUUACUGCUGUAGAAAAGUAUUAAUAGCUUCAUUUCAUAUAAACAUAAGUAACUUCCAAACACUUAUGUAGAGGACUAAAAAUGUAUCUGGUAUUUAAGUAAUCUGAACCAGUUCUGCAAGUGACUGUGUUUUGUAUUACUGUGAAGAUAUGAAAAUGUAGUUAAUUACAGUUUAAAGAGUGUUCUGCAUAACUUCCUGAUUUCUACAUUCCCUCCCUUACUCUUCUUCGGGGGUUUUCUUUCAGUAAAGCAACUUUUCCAUCCUCUUAAUAUAUUCCUUUUUGGUAGGAAUCCAGAAGUAUUAGAUUGAAUGGAAAAGCAGUUGACAUUUUGAGGCUGGAGGUCACAAAUUAAAAUGCCUCCUGUAUCAUAUAUGAUGGAGGUCUUGCGUAUCUGUGACAACAGGGAGUUUCCUCAUUCAUUCUUCAUUUGCUGCUGUUUAAGUUGACAACUUCCCUUCCCAAUAAAAAUUCACUUACACCUCCUGCCUUUGUAGUUCUGGUAUUCACUUUACGAUGUAAUAGAAGUAGCAUGUUGCUGCCAGAAUACAAGCAUUGCUUUUGGCAAAUGAAAGUGCAUGUCAUUUCUUAAUACACUAGAAAGGGGAAAUAAAGUACACAAGUCCAAGUCUAAAACUUUAGUACUUUUCCAUGCAGAUUUGUGCACAUGUGAGAGGGUGUCCAGUUUGUCUAGUGAUUGUUAGAGAGUUGGACCACUAUUGUAUGUUGCUAAUAAUCAUCGACUGUAGUCCCAAAAAGGCCUUGUGAAAAUGUUAUGCCCUAUGUAACAACAGAGUAACAUAAAAUAAAAUUACAUUUUAUAAACCA